ACUACGGGAGGCAGCAGUAGGGGAUAUUGGACAAUGGGGGGAACCCUGAUCCAGCGACGCCGCGUGAGUGAAGAAGUAUUUCAGUAUGUAAAGCUCUGUCAGCAGGGAAGAAAGAAAUGACGGUACCUGACCAAGAAGCCCCGGCUAACUACGUGCCAGCAGCCGCGGUAAUACGUAGGGGGCAAGCGUUAUCCGGACUUACUGGGUGUAAAGGGAGCGUAGACGGUUAAGUAAGUCUGGAGUGAAAGGCCGGGGCCCAACCCCGGGACUGCUCUGGAAACUAUUGAACUUGAGUGCAGGAGAGGGAAGCGGAAUUCCUAGUGUAGCGGUGAAAUGCGUAGAUAUUAGGAGGAACACCAGUGGCGAAGGCGGCUUACUGGACUGUAACUGACGCUGAGGCUCGAAAGCGUGGGGAGCAAACAGGAUUAGAUACCCUUGUAGUC
rnacentral:rRNA from 1 species